GAACGUGGUGUAAUAACCAUUUUUGUGUAAAAAGUUUUCAUAAGUUGAGGAUAAGCAUUUUCUUCCAACGAACAUACUGAAACCCAUCCCAUAUUUUCAAAGAAUUCUUGAAUGUGAAAAGCAGAUGCUUCAACAGAAAAAGCCGAAAAAUCAACAUUUUUACCUAGUAGAAUGGGAGAUUUUUCAAGUGGGUUCACCGCCUCUUCGGGUUCAAAAUCCGUUUCUUCGUCGGAGGAGG
rnacentral:lncRNA from 1 species